rnacentral:rRNA from 1 species
AUUGACCUCGGAUCAGGUAGGGAUACCCGCUGAACUUAAGCAUAUCAAUAAGCGGAGGAAAAGAAACCAACAGGGAUUGCCCUAGUAACGGCGAGUGAAGCGGCAACAGCUCAAAUUUGAAAUCUGGCUCCUUUGGGGUCCGAGUUGUAAUUUGUAGAGGGUGCUUUGGCGUUGGUUGUGGUCUAAGUUCCUUGGAACAGGACGUCACAGAGGGUGAGAAUCCCGUACGUGGCCGCCAGCCUCCGCCGUGUAAAGCCCCUUCGAUGAGUCGAGUUGUUUGGGAAUGCAGCUCUAAAUGGGAGGUAAAUUUCUUCUAAAGCUAAAUAUUUGCCAGAGACCGAUAGCGCACAAGUAGAGUGAUCGAAAGAUGAAAAGCACUUUGGAAAGAGAGUCAAAAAGCACGUGAAAUUGUUGAAAGGGAAGCGCUUGCAGCUAGACGUGCCUUGGGUUGAUCAGCCGGACUUUUGCCCGGUGCACUCUUCCUUUGGCAGGCCAGCAUCAGUUUGGGCGGCUGGAUAAAGGUCUGUUAAACGUGACUUCCUUCGGGGAGAGCUUAUAGGGCAGACGACAUGCAGCCAGCCUGAACUGAGGUCCGCGCAUCUGCUAGGAUGCUGGCGUAAUAGCUGUAAGCGGCCCGUCUUGAAACACGGACCAAGGAGUCUAACAUCUAUGCGAGUGUUUGGGUGUCAAGCCCGAGCGCGUAAUGAAAGUAAACGGAGGUGGGAACCUUUUAGGUGCACCAUCGACCGAUCCUGAUGUCUUCGGAUGGAUUUGAGUAAGAGCAUAGCUGUUGGGACCCGAAAGAUGGUGAACUAUGCCUGAAUAGGGUGAAGCCAGAGGAAACUCUGGUGGAGGCUCGCAGCGGUUCUGACGUGCAAAUCGAUCGUCAAAUUUGGGCAUAGGGGCGAAAGACUA